rnacentral:rRNA from 1 species
CAGGAUGAACGCUGGCGGUCUGCUUAACACAUGCAAGUCGAACGAAUCCCUUCGGGGAUUAGUGGCGGACGGGUGAGUAGCGCGUGAGAAUCUGCCUUCAGGUUCGGGACAACCACUGGAAACGGUGGCUAAUACCGAAUGUGCCGCAACGUGAAAGAUUUAUCGCCUGAAGAUGAGCUCGCGUCCGAUUAGCUAGUUGGUGAGGUAAAAGCUCACCAAGGCGACGAUCGGUAGCUGGUCUGAGAGGAUGACCAGCCACACUGGGACUGAGACACGGCCCAGACUCCUACGGGAGGCAGCAGUGGGGAAUUUUCCGCAAUGGGCGCAAGCCUGACGGAGCAAGACCGCGUGAGGGAGGAAGGCCCAAGCGGUUGUAAACCUCUUUUCUCAGGGAAGAAGAAAGUGACGGUACCUGAGGAAUCAGCCUCGGCUAACUCCGUGCCAGCAGCCGCGGUAAUACGGAGGAGGCAAGCGUUAUCCGGAAUUAUUGGGCGUAAAGCGUCCGUAGGUGGUUAUGUAAGUCUGCUGUCAAAGCACAGGGCUUAACCCUGUAAAGGCAGUGGAAACUACAAGACUCGAGUGCGGUAGGGGCAGAGGG